UCUGCACACAAUAAAAAAAGGACUUGUCCAUAGACUUCAUAAUACUUGACACAUCAGCUCCUUCAUUCACUGCGCCACGCCUGCCCGUAGGGGGCUGUGUGACUCCGCUCCAUUUAUCAGAAGUCGGUGGCAGUGAAACAAUCACAGAUGCUUUUGAGCACAAAGCCGGAUUUGCAUUUAAAAAUAUGAACGCUGGACCGCAUACUAACAAGAAGGAUUGUCUCAGGAGUUAUUUUUUCGAGGAUUCAAGUCAGCUUUGACAGCCACGCCAGCAAUGCAGGCUACUACGCCAGCCUUGAGCUCCCAGCGGGUACCUGGUCCUACACCAACCCCUACACCGACAGCAACAAGCAGAUCUUUGUCUACUUUGACCCCGUGCACCUUUGGAAGAACAUCUACAGCAGCUUUCCCAACAACAGCUGUAUGGUGCUGCCCAGGUGUCCUGGGGCUGAAGAGCCUGAGAGGAUUAGGACGGCCCAAUUCUCAAGCCUUAAGGUGCUGGCCAGGUGGGAGAACUACAAGUCCGUCAAGGCUGGCUACAAGUUGACCCAGAAGGUGCUGGCGCGCAGAGCGUCGGGCUCAUUAUGGCGGUCGUCAACGCCAAUGCGGUCGACGGGCUGAGGCUCCUCACCAUGACCACGGGCAUGGAGGAACAAAGGGACACGGAGAUGGGCCGGGCAGUCCUCAAGCGGCCAUCUGUCCCCAUGGCCCACAUGGCGUCUGUCGGUAUGUCGCAGUGGGACUCCCUGAUGUGCAGGAAGCACAAGAGCACCAGCUGGAUUUCAUGGCGGUCCCUCUUCAACUGUUUUGGUACGAACUUCUCCAAGGGUGUGACUUCAGAAGCGAGGAAGAACAAGGCCUUGGAGUAGCCGACCAGCAGGAAAAGGAGCAGGAGUCGAGGUAGGCAGAAAGGAGACGGUGAGGAACAAGUCGAGGAAGCUGACCAGAAAACGUGAGGCAUAGAAAGAGGCUAUGUGACUGUUGAAAGACGAGUCUCACAUCCUGGUAACACCACAACGAUUAUUUGUACUGCCUGAAUUAUAGGACUAUCUCAUAAGCAUUUUAUGUUUAUGUUUAGAUUUCAUACUUGCAGGUCACUUUGAGAUUUUAACU